rnacentral:lncRNA from 1 species
UGAAAGUAGGCUCAUUUAAUUUUUUUUUUUUUUACUUUAUUUAUGUGAAACAUUUUACAGAUGCAUAGAAUAGACAGGAAAUUAUUACCUAAAAAUAUUAUAAAAUAUUUACUCAAUAGAUAUCAUAUGGACUCGUGCGAACAAAACAUAAACCAGAUUACUCCUUAUUAUAAAUUAUUAAAACAACAAGUAUGUGGGAAAUACAUAAAUAUAUAUACAUAAAUAUAUAUACAUAAAUAUAUGUACAUAAAUAUAUAUACAUAAAUACAGAGAGAAAGACAAAUAAUUACUAUUUUUUUUGUUGAUUCAAUAAUUUGUUCUAUUGUUUAUCAGUACAUACAUAUGUAUAUAUAAAUACAUAAAUAUAAUUAAACUUUUUAUCUUUUUUUUAGUCACUUUACCCUUCAAAAAUAAAUUAUUUCCUUUAUAAAACCACAUUCCCGAAUAAACACGAACAAUUAUUCCUAUUUUGGGGCAAUGGACCAGCUAUACUAAAUUUUAUUUUUCAAACACUAUGUUUUUGUUUCUUAAUCAUAUUGUCUUGCUGGAUGUUUUUAUUAAAAGUAGAUAAUAUAACAUGGUUACAAUUAUAUAAAUACGGUAGUUUAAUUAUAUGUGGAUGUAUAUUAUUUUUUACAUUUAUAUUAAAAUAUAUUGUGUAUUAUUUUAUAAUGAUAAGUAAAACGGGUUAUUUAAUUGACACGAAGUUGUUAGAAAAGGUAUGGGAAUUUGAAAGAUCAGAUAACAUAAAGAGAAUAUCCGAAUUUAUUGAUGCUAUAAAAAUAAAGUCCACCUUACAUGCACUUAAAGAAGGAGGGGAUGUAUUUUGGAGACAGUUGUUAAUAAAAUCAAGCACAGUGCCAUCAAAUAUACAGGAAAAAAUGUUUUCCAUAUGGGUUAGUUUAGAUGAGGAAAAUAGAGGUGUUAUUGAUUCUGUAAAAAUAUUAAAAUUUUUAAAAUCUCAGGGAAUUAAUUUGAAUUCAGAAAAUGAUGUUAAAGUAAGAUAUAUUUUUUUUUAUUUUUUAUGGCAAAAAAAAAAAAAAAAAAAAAAAAAAAAAAAAAAAAAAAAAAAAAAAAUGCUAGUAUGGCACACCUUUUCAUUUUGCUACAUCUGA